ensembl:lncRNA
AUCUGCUUUUCCUGCUUCCUCCCUCCUCCUUUCCCUGAGCGAACAGAGAGUUAUUUGUCCAGCAAGGUGUUAUCUGAACAUGUCAAAUGAGCUGGACUCUUCAAGAGACUGUUGAGAGGCAUCUGCCAUACAGUUCUUCAUGCCAGGAUGCAUAAUGAAGUAUUGAAGAUAAAGUAUUUCCUGGAUGUUUUGGUAAGGAAGUGAGGAAAGCCUGGAAUUGAUUGACAUAUUUAAAAAUAUUUCUGGCCUGACAUCUUUACCACACCGUUUCUAAAGGAGAUUUUUUUUACGUUCAAAACAACUCAUUAAGUGCUGUGAAUGUUUGACACAAAGCCUGUUUGUGUUCCUUGGAGGCAUACCUGAAGAAGGAGGAAAGCUGUGUACUGUUUCCCCACUCCUUGCUGCCUGGGGCA